AGGGCCAUGGCCUUCACAGACCUGCUGGAUGCUCUGGGCGGCAUGGGCCGCUUCCAGCUCAUCCACAUGGCCCUGCUGCUGCUGCCCUGCGGCCUGCUGGCCUGCCACAACUUCCUGCAGAACUUCACGGCUGCUGUCCCCCCCCACCACUGCCGGGGCCCUGCCAACCAUGCUGAGGCCUCCACCAACGACUCGGGGGCCUGGCUGAGGGCCACCAUACCCCUGGACCAGCUUGGGGCCCCUGAGCCCUGCCGGCGCUUCACCAAGCCUCAGUGGCCCCUGCUGAGCCCCAACUCCUCCGUCCCGGGCGCGGCCACGGAGGGCUGCAAGGACGGCUGGGUCUAUAACCGCAGUGUUUUCCCGUCCACCAUCGUGAUGGAGGUCAGAAGGGGCUGGGUGCGUGGGGGGGCUGUUGCCGAGGCCCAGUCUGAAGCGCCCACGUCUUCCCUGCAGUGGGAUCUGGUGUGUGAGGCCCGCACUCUCCGAGACCUGGCGCAGUCCGUCUACAUGGCCGGGGUGCUGGUGGGGGCUGCCGUGUUUGGCAGCCUGGCAGACAGGCUGGGCCGCAAGGGCCCCCUGGUCUGGUCCUACCUGCAGCUGGCAGCUUCGGGGGCUGCCGCAGCGUAUUUCAGCUCCUUCAGUGCCUACUGCGUCUUCCGGUUCCUGAUGGGCAUGACCUUCUCUGGCAUCAUCCUCAACUCCCUCUCCCUGUUGUGGAGUGGAUGCCCACCCGGGGUCGGACUGUGGCGGGUAUCUUGCUGGGGUAUUCCUUCACCCUGGGCCAGCUCAUCCUGGCUGGGGUAGCCUACCUGAUUCGCCCCUGGCGGUGCCUGCAGUUUGCCGUCUCUGCUCCUUUCGUGAUCUUUUUCCUUUAUUCUUGGUGGCUUCCAGAGUCAUCCCGCUGGCUCCUCCUGCAUGGCAAGUCCCAGUUAGUUGUACAGAAUCUGCAGAAGGUGGCUGCAAUGAACGGGAGGAAGGAGGAAGGGGAAAGGCUGACCAAGGAGGCGGUGAGCUCCUACAUCCAAAGCGAGUUUGCAAGUGUCCGCACCUCCAACUCAAUCUUGGACCUCUUCCGAACCCCGGCCAUCCGCAAGGUCACGUGCUGUCUCAUGGUGAUUUGGUUCUCCAACUCUGUGGCUUACUAUGGCCUGGCCAUGGAGCUGCAGAAGUUUGGGCUCAGCCUAUACCUGGUGCAGGCCCUGUUUGGAAUCGUCGACAUCCCGGCCAUGCUGGUGGCCACCGCCACCAUGAUUUACGUGGGCCGCCGGGCCACAGUGGCCUCCUUCCUCAUCCUGGCCGGGCUCAUGGUGAUCGCCAACAUGUUUGUGCCAGAAGGCAUGCAGAUCCUGCGCACAGCCCAGGCAGCGCUGGGCAAAGGCUGCCUGGCCAGCUCCUUCAUCUGUGUGUACCUGUUUACCGGCGAGCUGUACCCCACGGAGAUCAGGCAGAUGGGGAUGGGCUUUGCCUCGGUCCAUGCCCGCCUCGGAGGCCUGGCGGCGCCCCUGGUUACCACACUUGGGGAAUACAGCACCAUCCUGCCACCCGUGAGCUUUGGGACCACCGCAAUCCUUGCAGGGCUGGCCGUCUGCUUCCUGACCGAGACCCGCAACGCGCCCCUGGUGGAGACCAUCGCGGCCAUGGAGAGCAGGGUCAAAGAAGGCUCUUCCAAGAAACAUGUAGAAGAGAAGAGUGAAGAAAUUUCUCUUCAGCAGCUGAGAGCAUCUCCCCUCAAAGAAACCAUCUAA
rnacentral:sRNA from 1 species